GCUGACGUCUGCGGAGGCUGCAUCGCACUAAAUGCUGUACGGUAACUUCAGAUGUCGCAUUGAUCGUGCAGAGCCUUUUUAUUGUCAACGUGUGAGUCAGCAAUGGACACUGGAAGUGAAGGAAUCUGCACUGUACAUAUCAAUUAGAUUUAAAUGAACAUUAACCCCUAAUUCUUCAUUUGUUGGGAAUGUUUUCUCUACCUCCGUAUUAUCCACAGGUUAACAGUCAACUUAUGCGACCUUCCGGUGACUCCCCUUCCACAACUGAACAAUGGACCAAGUUAUUUGCUAAAAAAGAAAGAAAGAUUAUUGAAAUCGUUCUGUUAGUUGUCAGUCUUGAGUCAUUAAUUUAAUAUUUUGAUAGUAUAGCACAGCAUGCCAUUGUGAUUUAGUGCUGAAUGUUUUAGUUUUAUGCAUUGAAUUUAUAUGUAGCCUAGCUACAGUAUGUAAGGUAAAAAGCUACAUUUAACAUUUAUGAAAUAUACCUCUGAACAAAAAUAUAAACCCAACAUGCAACAAUUUCAAAGAUUUUACUGAGUUACAGUUCAUAUAAGGAAAUCAGUCAAUUGAAAUAAAUUCAUAAGGCACUAAUCUAUGGAUUUCACAUGACUGGAAUACAAAUGCAUCUGUUGGUCACCGAUACCUUAAAAAAAGGUAGGGGCGUGGUUCAGAAAACCAGUCAGUAUCUGUUGUGACCACCAUUUGCAUCAUGCAGCACAACACAUCUCCUUCACAGAGUUGAUCGGGCUGUUGAUUGUGGCCUGUGUAAAUGUUGUCCCACUCUACUUCAAUGGCUGUGCAAAGUUGCUGGAUAUUGUCGGGAACUGGAACGAUAAAAUGCAAUUGUGUUCGUUGUCCGUAGUUUAUGCCUGCCCAUACCAUAACCCCACUGCCAACAUGGGGCAUUCUGUGACAUCCACAAACUGCUCGCCCCUUUCAAUGCCAUCUUUCUGGUACAUUUGAAACCAAGAUUCCUCUGAAGAACACACUUCUCCAGCAUGCUAGUGGCCAUCAAAGGUGAGCAUUUGCCCGCUGAAGUUGGUCACGGUGCCGAACUGCAGUCAGGUCAAGACGCUGGUGUGGACGACGAGCACACAGAUAAGCUUCCCUGAGACGGUUCAGACAGUUGGUGCAGAAACUCUUUGGUUGUGCAAACCCACAGUUUCAUCAGCUGUCCGGGUGGCUGGUCUCAGAUAAUUCCGCAAGUGAAGAAGCCGGAUGUCGAUGUCCUGGGCUGGCGUGGUUACACGUGGUAUGCAGUUGUGAGGCCGGUUGGACCUACUGCCAAAUUGUCUAAAACCACGUUGGAGGCAGCUUAUGGUAGAGAAAUGAACAUUCAAUUAUCUGGCAACAGCUCUGGUGGACAUUCCUACAGUUAGCAUGCCAAUGGCACCCUCCCUCAAAACUUGAG
rnacentral:lncRNA from 1 species